AUUUUCCACACUUGGGGUAAUAGCGAGCAAAGGCUUACUUUAUAUGCCAUUGCUGAGAAACAAAUGCAAGAUAGCAAGGGACCGACAAGCCUGAGUCCAAGGGUCAAGUCCCCCAUACUGCUGGAGCGGUCCGCACAGGAAUUCCAGUACAACUGAUCCCCUAGGAUAACUGAGGCAUGCAAAGCCUUCCACCACAAUAAGAAGGCUCUUUUUGUCUCCCCCAGUUCCCACGUGUGCUAUGGUCCAGGUGUAUGUCUUCACAGGAGCUCAUCACAGCUCUAAUGAGUGAUCACCACUCAUCUGUCUUCAUCCACAUCCAAUGGAGAGCGCCUGCUAUGAUGUGCAUAUUGUGUGUUUGUUUAUGUGUGCCUGUUGGAAAUAUUUAAAAUGCACAAAUAAUUGCCAAUAGGGCCAAUUUAUAUUGAAAUACUAUCCCCAGUGGCUUGAUGCCAUCUUUGUGUAAUUUCGAGCUGCAUUCUGGGAUGUGUCGUUUAUAGCUGUAUUCUGUAGAGUCGCUGUCAUUGGAGAGCGUGUUGAAUUAGAGCCAGUGACUGCAACCUCCAAGAUACAUUACCGCUUACCAAAAACAAUUACAAUAAUGGUUGAGGACUCCCGAUGCACGGAAACAAUUCCUUUGAUAAAUAACGAGGACAAACUGCAGAGGGUGCAGAUGAGGCAUCUUGCACAAGCUUGGAUUUGAAGGGGGGAAAAAAAGUGAAUAAUGGAAAGGCAUUGAGGUUGAAACAGCAGCUGGACAUGGAUUGGCUCGCUAUAUGCGGGGGGGAAAAAAUGGUGGUUGGAAGAGAACAAAUCACAAAUAGAAACAUUUUGAUAGUGUGGGAAAAUCAAAAGCCUGGAUAAAAAAAUUUAAAAAAAAAAGCAUUCUCAUCAGGGAAACCGAGGAUCGUUCUUCUUGACCUUUUGCUGAAGAUCUAUUUGUAGUAGCUGCUCACAAUAAAUCAUAACAAGCAGAGACUAUAUAAGAAGGCUUUAAUGAAUGACUGGGAGAUUGUGUAUGAAUGCUGACAUUAUGUCGAAGAAUAUUGUUUGCCAUUAAACAAUCAUUUUUAAGUGCCAUAUGAGUAAGUACCGGGCUUGUGCCGGGAAACGUUGAGGCAAAAGGAGGAUAACACAAAUAUGGAUAAGCAGGGAGGCAAAGCAAGAAGAGAUACAGUAUAUAUUUUAAAAAAGAGUUUAUUAAAAAAAA